ensembl:snRNA U4 U4 spliceosomal RNA
AGCUUUGCACAGUGGCAGUAGCUGUGAGGAUUAUCCAAGGCAUGAUUAUUACUAAUUGAAAACUUUUCCCAAUGCCUUGCCAUGGCGACUUGAAGUAUAGUCUGCAUUAGCAAUUUUUGGACAGCCUGUAUGGA